CCUACGUGAGGCAGCAGUGAGGAAUAUUGGUCAAUGGGCGCGAGCCUGAACCAGCCAAGUAGCGUGAAGGAUGACUGCCCUACGGGUUGUAAACUUCUUUUAUAAAGGAAUAAAGUGAGGCACGUGUGCCUUUUUGUAUGUACUUUAUGAAUAAGGAUCGGCUAACUCCGUGCCAGCAGCCGCGGUAAUACGGAGGAUCCGAGCGUUAUCCGGAUUUAUUGGGUUUAAAGGGAGCGGAGACGGGUUGUUAAGUCAGUUGUGAAAGUUUGCGGCUAAACCGUAAAAUUGCAAUUGAUACUGGCAGUCUUGAGUACAGUUGAGGUAGGCGGAAUUCGUGGUGUAGCGGUGAAAUGCUUAGAUAUCACGAAGAACUCCGAUUGCGAAGGCAGCUUACUAAGCUGCCACUGACAUUGAUGCUCGAAAGUGUGGGUAUCAAACAGGAUUAGAUACCCUAGUAGUC
rnacentral:rRNA from 1 species